ensembl:ncRNA Y92C3A.8 ncRNA
UAUCUUGAAAUCUAAAAUAGCUAUCAAAAAGUUGUCAAUUGGUAAAUUGCAGAGCUUAAAGUUUUGCACAUUUUAGCAGUUAAUAACUUUAUUAUAG